rnacentral:rRNA from 1 species
AAAUUGAAGAGUUUGAUCAUGGCUCAGAUUGAACGCUGGCGGCAGGCCUAACACAUGCAAGUCGAACGGUAACAGGAAGCAGCUUGCUGCUUUGCUGACGAGUGGCGGACGGGUGAGUAAUGUCUGGGAAACUGCCUGAUGGAGGGGGAUAACUACUGGAAACGGUAGCUAAUACCGCAUAACGUCGCAAGACCAAAGAGGGGGACCUUCGGGCCUCUUGCCAUCGGAUGUGCCCAGAUGGGAUUAGCUUGUUGGUGGGGUAACGGCUCACCAAGGCGACGAUCCCUAGCUGGUCUGAGAGGAUGACCAGCCACACUGGAACUGAGACACGGUCCAGACUCCUACGGGAGGCAGCAGUGGGGAAUAUUGCACAAUGGGCGCAAGCCUGAUGCAGCCAUGCCGCGUGUAUGAAGAAGGCCUUCGGGUUGUAAAGUACUUUCAGCGGGGAGGAAGGGAGUAAAGUUAAUACCUUUGCUCAUUGACGUUACCCGCAGAAGAAGCACCGGCUAACUCCGUGCCAGCAGCC